GCGAUCAUACCAACACUAAUGCACCGGAUCCCAUCAGAACUCCGAAGUUAAGCUUGCUUGGGCGAGGGCAGUACUAGGAUGGGUGUCCCCUUGGGAAAAUCCUCGUGUUGCACCU
rnacentral:rRNA from 1 species